rnacentral:rRNA from 1 species
UACAGGGGGGGCAAGCGUUGUUCGGAAUUACUGGGCGUAAAGGGCCAGUAGGCGGCCAACUAAGUCACACGUGAAAUCCCCAGGCUUAACCUGGGAACUGCGUGUGAUACUGGAUGGCUUGAAUUCGGGAGAGGGAUGCAGAAUUCCAGGUGUAGCGGUGAAAUGCGUAGAUAUCUGGAGGAAUACCGGUGGCGAAGGCGGCCUGCUGGGCAGUGGCUGACGCUGAGGCGCGACAGCGUGGGGAGCAAACAGG